rnacentral:rRNA from 1 species
AACCUCCGCAAUGUGAGAAAUCGCGACGGGGGGAUCCCAAGUGCCAUUCUUAACGGGAUGGCUUUUCAUUAGUGUAAAGAGCUUUUGGAAUAAGGGCUGGGCAAGACCGGUGCCAGCCGCCGCGGUAACACCGGCAGCUCUAGUGGUAGCAGUUUUUAUUGGGCCUAAAGCGUCCGUAGCCGGUUUAAUAAGUCUCUGGUGAAAUCCUGUAGCUUAACUGUGGGAAUUGCUGGAGAUACUAUUAGACUUGAGACCGGGAGAGGUUAGAGGUACUCCCAGGGUAGAGGUGAAAUUCUGUAAUCCUGGGAGGACCGCCUGUUGCGAAGGCGUCUAACUGGAACGGUUCUGACGGUGAGGGACGAAAGUUAGGGGCGCGAACCGGAUUAGAUACCCGGGUAGUCCUAACUGUAAACGAUGCGGACUUGGUGUUGGGGUGGCUUUGAGCUGCUCCAGUGCCGAAGGGAAGCUGUUAAGUCCGCCGCCUGGGAAGUACGGUCGCAAGACUGAAACUUAAAGAAGUU